rnacentral:rRNA from 1 species
CGGAACACGUACGCAAUCUACCCAAAACUGGUGAAUAGCCCUCCGAAAGGAGGAUUAAUACACCGUAACGUAAGGAAGUGGCAUCACUAUCUUACUAUAGCUCCGGCGGUUUUGGAUGAGCGUGCGCCUGAUUAGGUAGUUGGUGUAGGUAACGGCUCACCAAGCCUGCGAUCAGUAACUGGUGUGAGAGCACGACCAGUCACACGGGCACUGAGACACGGGCCCG